CCUACGGGCGGCAGCAGUGAGGAAUCUUGGUCAAUGGACGGAAGUCUGAACCAGCCAUGCCGCGUGCAGGAAGACGGCUCUAUGAGUUGUAAACUGCUUUUGUACAAGGGUAAACCUGAAUACGUGUAUUCAGCUGAAAGUACUGUACGAAUAAGGAUCGGCUAACUCCGUGCCAGCAGCCGCGGUAAUACGGAGGAUCCAAGCGUUAUCCGGAUUUAUUGGGUUUAAAGGGUGCGUAGGCGGAUUGAUAAGUUAGAGGUGAAAUGUCCGAGCUUAACUCGGGAACUGCCUCUAAUACUGUUGAUCUAGAGAGUAGAUGCGGUAGGCGGAAUGUAUGGUGUAGCGGUGAAAGGCUUAGAGAUCAUACAGAACACCGAUUGCGAAGGCAGCUUACCAAUCUAUAUCUGACGUUGAGGCACGAAAGCGUGGGGAGCAAACAGGAUUAGAUACCCCUGUAGUC
rnacentral:rRNA from 1 species